rnacentral:rRNA from 1 species
GACGAACGCUGGCGGCGUGCUUAACACAUGCAAGUCGAACGGAAAGGCCCUGCUUUUGUGGGGUGCUCGAGUGGCGAACGGGUGAGUAACACGUGAGUAACCUGCCCUUGACUUUGGGAUAACUUCAGGAAACUGGGGCUAAUACCGGAUAGGAGCUCCUGCUGCAUGGUGGGGGUUGGAAAGUUUCGGCGGUUGGGGAUGGACUCGCGGUUUAUCAGCUUGUUGGUGGGGUAGUGGCUUACCAAGGCUUUGACGGGUAGCCGGCCUGAGAGGGUGACCGGCCACAUUGGGACUGAGAUACGGCCCAGACUCCUACGGGAGGCAGCAGUGGGGAAUAUUGCACAAUGGGCGGAAGCCUGAUGCAGCAACGCCGCGUGCGGGAUGACGGCCUUCGGGUUGUAACCCGCUUUCGCCUGUGACGAAGCGUGAGUGACGGUAAUGGGUAAAGAAGCACCGGCUAACUACGUG